rnacentral:rRNA from 1 species
GUAUCAAUAAGCGGAGGAAAAGAAACUAACAAGGAUUCCCCUAGUAACGGCGAGUGAAGCGGGAUGAGCUCAAAUUUGAAAUCUGGCUGGUUUGACCUAGUCCGAGUUGUAAUUUAAAGAAGCGUUUUCGGUGGCAGCCUGGGUACUAAAUCCUUUGGAACAGGGUAUCAUAGAGGGUGAGAAUCCCGUCUUCUGACUCAGUGCAUGCUACUAUGUGAUACGUCUUUCAAAGAGUCGAGUUGUUUGGGAAUGCAGCUCAAAAUGGGUGGUAAAUUCUCAUCUAAGGCUAAAUACCUGGCGAGAGACCGAUAGCGAACAAGUACCGUGAGGGAAAGAUGAAAAGAACUUUGAAAAGAGAGUUAAACAGUGC